rnacentral:misc_RNA from 1 species
CGCAGCCGCGGUAAUUCCAGCUCCAAUAGCGUAUAUUAAAGUUGUUGCAGUUAAAAGCUCGUAGUUGAAUUUCGGGAUCAAUAUGUUGGUCGUGCCUCGGUACGUACUAGCUUAUUGGUUUCUCCUUUCUGAAGAACCAUGAUGUCAUUUAUUUGGUGUCGUGGGGAAUCAGGACUGUUACUUUGAAAAAUUAGAGUGUUUAAAGCAGGCUCACGCUUGAAUACAUUAGCAUGGAAUAAUGAAAUAGGACGUUUGAUUCUAUUUUGUUGGUUUCUAGGAUCGACGUAAUGAUUAAUAGGGAUAGUUGGGGGCAUUAGUAUUCAAUUGUCAGAGGUGAAAUUCUUGGUAUUUAUUGAAGACUAACUACUGCGAAAGCAUUUGCCAAGGAUGUUUUCAUUAAUCAAGAACGAAAGUUAGGGAUCGAAGACGAUCAGAUACCGUCGUAGUCUUAACCAUAAACUAUGACCGACUAGGGAUCAGAUGAUGUUUAAUUUUUAAUGUACUUCUAUUCGGCGUACCG